rnacentral:rRNA from 1 species
GACGAACGCUGGCGGCGUGCUUAACACAUGCAAGUCGAACGGAAAGGCCCUGCUUUUGUGGGGUGCUCGAGUGGCGAACGGGUGAGUAACACGUGAGUAACCUGCCCUUUACUUUGGGAUAACUUCAGGAAACUGGGGCUAAUACCGGAUAGGAGCUCCUGCUGCAUGGUGGGGGUUGGAAAGUUUCGGCGGUUGGGGAUGGACUCGCGGCUUAUCAGCUUGUUGGUGGGGUAGUGGCUUACCAAGGCUUUGACGGGUAGCCGGCCUGGGAGGGUGACCGGCCACAUUGGGACUGCGGUACGGCCCAGACUCCUGCGGGAGGCAGCAGUGGGGAAUAUUGCACAAUGGGCGGAAGCCUGAUGCAGCAACGCCGCGUGCGGGAUGACGGCCUUCGGGUUGUAAACCGCUUUCGCCUGUGACGAAGCGUGAGUGACGGUAAUGGGUAAAGAAGCACCGGCUAACUACGUG